AGAGUUUGAUCAUGGCUCAGAGCGAACGCUGGCGGCGUGCUUAACACAUGCAAGUCGAGUGCGCGGUUGUAGCAAUACAACUGGCGCACGGCGCACGGGUGCGUAACACGUGGGUAAUCUGCCCUCUGAUGGGGAAUAACUCGCCGAAAGGCGAGCUAAUACCGCAUAACAUUCCUUGGACUCCGGUUCGAGGAUUCAAAGGCGUAAGUCGUCGGAGGUGGAGCCCGCGCACGAUUAGCUAGUUGGUAGGGUAAAGGCCUACCAAGGCUAUGAUCGUUAGCUGGUCUGAGAGGAUGGCCAGCCACACUGGAACUGAGACACGGUCCAGACUCCUACGGGAGGCAGCAGUGGGGAAUCUUGCACAAUGGGCGAAAGCCUGAUGCAGCGACGCCGCGUGGGGGAUGAAGCUUCUCGGAGUGUAAACCCCUUUCGACCGGGACGAAUACCUCGCAAGAGGGGUGACGGUACCGGUAUAAGAAGCCCCGGCUAACCACGUGCCAGCAGCCGCGGUAAGACGUAGGGGGCCAGCGUUGCUCGGAAUUACUGGGUGUAAAGGGUUCGUAGGCGGUGUGGCAAGUCGGGAGUGAAAAUCUCUGGGCUCAACUCAGGGGCUGCUUCCGAAACUGCUGUGCUAGAGUGUGGGAGAGGCGCGUGGAAUUGCAGGUGUAGCGGUGAAAUGCGUAGAUAUCUGCAGGAACACCCGUGGCGAAAGCGGCGCGCUGGACCACUACUGACGCUGAGGAACGAAAGCUAGGGGAGCAAACAGGAUUAGAUACCCUAGUAGUCC
rnacentral:rRNA from 1 species